UUCCUUCGGGAAGCGAGCGUACACAGGUGCUGCAUGGCUGUCGUCAGCUCGUGUCGUGGGAUGUUGGGUUAAGUCCCGCAACGAGCGCAACCCUCGCCUUAGUUGCCAUCAUUCAGUUGGGCACUCUAAGGGGACUGCCGGUGAUAAGCCGAGAGGAAGGUGGGGAUGACGUCAAGUCCUCAUGGCCCUUACGGGCUGGGCUACACACGUGCUACAAUGGUGGUGACAGUGGGCAGCGAGACCGCGGGGUCGAGCUAAUCUCCAAAAGCCAUCUCAGUUCGGAUUGCACUCUGCAACUCGAGCGCAUGAAGUUGGAAUCGCUAGUAAUCGCGGAUCAGCAUGCCGCGGUGAAUACGUUCCCGGGCCUU
rnacentral:rRNA from 1 species